rnacentral:rRNA from 1 species
GCGCAGCAGGCGCGAAAACUCCGCAAUGCGCGAAAGCGUGACGGGGUCACCCCGAGUGUCGCCUGCUGAAGGCGACUUUUCUCUGGUCUAAACAGCCGGAGGAAUAAGGGGAGGGCAAGACUGGUGUCAGCCGCCGCGGUAAUACCAGCUCCCCGAGUGGUGAGGACGAUUAUUGGGCCUAAAGCGUCCGUAGCCGGCUUAACAAGUUUCCCGUUAAAUCCGACGAUCCAAUCGCCGGUCUGCGAGAAAUACUGUUAAGCUAGGAGGCGGGAGAGGCCGGCGGUACUUUCGGGGUAGGGGUGAAAUCUUAUAAUCCUGGAAGGACCACCAGUGGCGAAGGCGGCCGGCCAGAACGCGCUCGACGGUGAGGGACGAAAGCUGGGGGAGCGAACCGGAUUAGAUACCCGGGUAGUCC